UUUUUUUUUUUUUUUUUUUUUUUUUUUUUUUUUUUUUUUUUUUUUG
rnacentral:ribozyme from 1 species